AGAGUUUGAUCCUGGCUCAGGAUGAACGCUAGCGACAGGCUUAACACAUGCAAGUCGAGGGGCAGCGGGGUAGUGCUUGCACUACUGCCGGCGACCGGCGCACGGGUGAGUAACACGUAUGGAACCUGCCCGCAGCAGGGGGAUAAGCGGAAGAAAUUCCGUCUAAUACCGCGUAACAACGUUGGGAGGCAUCUCCCGAUGUUUAAAGAUUUAUCGGCUGCGGAUGGCCAUGCGGCGCAUUAGCUAGUCGGCGGGGUAACGGCCCACCGAGGCGACGAUGCGUAGGGGUUCUGAGAGGAAGGUCCCCCACACUGGUACUGAGACACGGACCAGACUCCUACGGGAGGCAGCAGUGAGGAAUAUUGGUCAAUGGCCGAGAGGCUGAACCAGCCAAGUCGCGUGAGGGAAGACGGCCCUACGGGUUGUAAACCUCUUUUGUCGGGGAGCAAAGCGAACCACGUGUGGUUCAUUGAGAGUACCCGAAGAAAAAGCAUCGGCUAACUCCGUGCCAGCAGCCGCGGUAAUACGGAGGAUGCGAGCGUUAUCCGGAUUUAUUGGGUUUAAAGGGUGCGCAGGCGGAGGUGCAAGUCAGCGGUCAAAUUGCGGGGCUCAACCCCGUACUGCCGUUGAAACUGCAUCCCUUGAGUGCGCGAGAAGUAUGCGGAAUGCGUGGUGUAGCGGUGAAAUGCAUAGAUAUCACGCAGAACUCCGAUUGCGAAGGCAGCAUACCGGCGCGCAACUGACGCUCAUGCACGAAAGCGUGGGUAUCGAACAGGAUUAGAUACCCUGGUAGUCCACGCAGUAAACGAUGAACACUAACUGUUCGGCCAAAGUGAUGGCUGAGUGGUACAGCGAAAGCGUUAAGUGUUCCACCUGGGGAGUACGCCGGCAACGGUGAAACUCAAAGGAAUUGACGGGGGCCCGCACAAGCGGAGGAACAUGUGGUUUAAUUCGAUGAUACGCGAGGAACCUUACCCGGGCUCAAACGACACAGGCAUACUUUUGAAAGGAGGUAGCCCUACGGGGUCUGUGUCGAGGUGCUGCAUGGUUGUCGUCAGCUCGUGCCGUGAGGUGUCGGCUUAAGUGCCAUAACGAGCGCAACCCCUAUCGCCAGUUACCAUCAAGUAAAGUUGGGGACUCUGGCGAGACUGCCGGCGCAAGCUGUGAGGAAGGCGGGGAUGACGCCAAAUCAGCACGGCCCUUACGUCCGGGGCGACACACGUGUCACAAUGGCAGGUACAGAGAGAAGCCAGGUGGCGACACCGCGCGGAACUCGAAAGCCUGUCUCAGUUCGGAUCGGAGUCUGCAACCCGACUCCGUGAAGCUGGAUUCGCUAGUAAUCGCGCAUCAGCCAUGGCGCGGUGAAUACGUUCCCGGGCCUUGUACUCACCGCCCGUCA
rnacentral:rRNA from 1 species